CGCCUCGCUGGCUAGAAGGUAGAGUCGGCUCCUGCCCGGUGAUCCGUCCUGGGGUUGAGGGGGCGGAGCAGGCCUGGGAACGUCACUUCCGGUGUACACAGCCGGUCCGGGCGUUGCGCUGGGGGCCAGGGCGCGUCGCAGAAUCUCAUUUGAAAGUGAUAAAAUUUGAGUAGUAUUUCAGUUCAGCAUUUCCUUGAAUUCAACCCUAUAUGAAAGAUCAACACAGGAAUACCAGGAAACGACUUAGAGGCCUUAUGAAUACAUCCGUGCAUUCUUGCUUCAGACUUUACAAUUGAAGGCCAACCCAGUCUGGAAGCAACUCUUGUUACUGUUAUAAGGAAACCGCUACCUCAGCAAACAAAAGGAAAGGAAGACUUGUAAUAACGAAUGCCAUUUUUAAAGAAAACUUGUUUUCAGAAAACAGUACAGGAAAUUUGGAAAUUUUUAGUCUUGAGGAGAAGCUUUACAGGCAAAUGAUUUGACAGGCAGGCUCUGUCAAAAUAAUGCAGAGAUUUGAUCUCCCUUCUUAAGGACUUUGUGCGGAAUAACCCUGUAUUGCUUUUUAAGUUGCUGUUGAUCAGCUUGUGGGUUUUUGAGUUCUAACUUUUUUGAUGUAUUAAAGAUACAUCCUAUUACCUUUUUAAAAGUUAUUUUUCUGCCAUUGUAAAUACAAGUAUCAAAAUAUUCUUGCAGAGCAAUUAUAAGUAAACAUUUUUGUCAACAAG
rnacentral:lncRNA from 1 species